CCUACGGGAGGCAGCAGUGGGGAAUAUUGGACAAUGGGCGAAAGCCUGAUCCAGCAAUGCCGCGUGAGUGAUGAAGGCCUUAGGGUUGUAAAGCUCUUUUACCAGGGAUGAUAAUGACAGUACCUGGAGAAUAAGCUCCGGCUAACUCCGUGCCAGCAGCCGCGGUAAUACGGAGGGAGCUAGCGUUGUUCGGAAUUACUGGGCGUAAAGCGUACGUAGGCGGUUAUUCAAGUCAGAGGUGAAAGCCCGGGGCUCAACCCCGGGAACUGCCUUUGAAACUAGAUAGCUAGAAUCUUGGAGAGGUUAGUGGAAUUCCGAGUGUAGAGGUGAAAUUCGUAGAUAUUCGGAAGAACACCAGUGGCGAAGGCGACUAACUGGACAAGUAUUGACGCUGAGGUACGAAAGCGUGGGGAGCAAACAGGAUUAGAUACCCUGGUAGUCCACGCCGUAAACGAUGAUAACUAGUUGUUCGGGCACUUGGUGCCUGAGUGACGCAGCUAACGCAUUAAGUUAUCGCCUGGGGAUCGGUGCAAGNUUAAAACUCAAAGAUAUAGGCGNGNGAGNGCGACGACGACGACGACGGAGGAGG
rnacentral:rRNA from 1 species